GCCUAAAACUUUGCCAAUUUCUUUAGCUGCUCCACUGUCUCAGUCUCCCCCUUUUCUCUCUUCUCUCUACUCUCAUGAGAAUUUCACCAAUCCCUCUCUUGACAUCUCUAUCACCACACUCUCUAACUCUCUAUAUCUCUCAAUCGAACCUCUUUUUUGAGUUUUUUGGUUGAAUCACACAGCAGCAAUCGGUCUCUUUGCUUGCCCAUUUAAGACAUGUAAAGAGUAAGCAAUUUGGGCUAGUGUUCUUAUGGUGGAAGUAGUAAGCGAAGUAGUCACUAUUUUUUGGACAAAACUUUGAGGGAGAUUUGAAGAAUCAGAUACAAAUCACUUGCAAAUUGAAAGUGUGGCUUGGAGUGUCCACCUGACCAGAAGGAAAGGCAAAUAUAGUGAUUGCAAGGCUGAACUUGUGAAGAUAGUCAGUCCAUAUAUACAUGCAAAAUGAUGAAACGGUUGCUAAACCCGUGAAAGGAUUGAUUCUUGGUCCACUUGCAAGCUUUAUAUUUUGGUUGCUGAACCAUGAACAGAAAGGAUUGCAGGAGGCUCUUAUAGUAGUUUUGCUGCUGUGGCAUGUGCAGGACUACUAUGGGAUGCUGCUUUUAGUGUUGAUGGAUGAGGGACUAUGGACAUCCUUUUUGACAUGAUUUUAGAGCAAGUAGUAGCUCCAAAGGAUGCAAAUAUGUUUCCUGCAUAACCUGUAAAGUUGCUUUGUAGUCAUGUUUCUUGAGUGGCUCUAUUUUAAGUUUGCUGUUUAAUGAUUGGGAUAAAUGUUGAAUUCAUGCUUUUGUGGGUAAUUGUUCUUGGCAUUAUGUGUUUAUGUCAUGCUUUCUUUUCUGUUUCUUGUUCGCUUGAUAACUUUCUGACUUGAGGUAUCAAUGAGAUCUUAAAUCUUUCAUGUUAAGUGU